AUCUAAAAUCCUUUUAACUAAUAACAGCCACUUCCCUAAUGACAUCAUCCUCCAGGAAGUGACAACAUUUUGGAGGGAAAGCACCAACACAAACAUCUAAGCCUGUGAGCAUGUCAUCAUAUCCUGUUGCCCAGGAGUCUGAGGAAAUGAAGUUGCAACCGCAAUGCGUUCAAAACGAGAGCGCUCACACCGAGCCAAGUCCUUUUCAUUUGCAUGUUUUGUGCAAAUUCCUGCGUGUCGAUGAAUUAAAACUGCGAGCCAAAGAAGUUGAAAGACUUAUAUACAUAUAUAUAGGAAAGAACGCAUGCUGUGUCUGAGUGGAACCCUUGACUCCUGGAAACCUUUGCGCGGACCUCAAACUCAUUUGGACGGAGCGUGCAGUCCCCAUCC
rnacentral:lncRNA from 1 species